CGCGUAUGCAACCUACCUUAUACUGGGGUAUAGCCCGGAGAAAUUCGGAUUAAUCCCCCAUAGUACUAAUGAAUCGCAUGGUUUAUUAGUUAAAGCAUUGCGGUAUAAGAUGGGCAUGCGUCCUAUUAGCUAGAUGGUGAGGUAACGGCUCACCACGGCUACGAUAGGUAGGGGGCCUGAGAGGGUGGUCCCCCACACUGGUACUGAGACACGGACCAGACUCCUACGGGAGGCAGCAGUGAGGAAUAUUGGUCAAUGGGCGCAAGCCUGAACCAGCCAUGCCGCGUGCAGGAAGAAUGCCCUAUGGGUUGUAAACUGCUUUUAUUUGGGAAUAAACCUCUUUACGUGUAGAGAGCUGAAGGUACCAAAUGAAUAAGCACCGGCUAACUCCGUGCCAGCAGCCGCGGUAAUACGGAGGGUGCAAGCGUUAUCCGGAAUCAUUGGGUUUAAAGGGUCCGCAGGCGGAUUUAUAAGUCAGUGGUGAAAUCCUAUCGCUUAACGAUAGAACUGCCAUUGAUACUGUAAGUCUUGAAUUCGGUCGGAGUGGGCGGAAUGUGUAGUGUAGCGGUGAAAUGCAUAGAUAUUACACAGAACACCGAUAGCGAAGGCAGCUCACUAGGCCUGAAUUGACGCUCAGGGACGAAAGCGUGGGGAUCAAACAGGAUUAGAUACCCUGGUAGUCCACGCUGUAAACGAUGAUUACUCGUUUUCGGCGAUAUACAGUCGGAGACUAAGCGAAAGUGAUAAGUAAUCCACCUGGGGAGUACGAUCGCAAGGUUGAAACUCAAAGGAAUUGACGG
rnacentral:rRNA from 1 species